rnacentral:rRNA from 1 species
UACAGAGGUCCCAAGCGUUGUUCGGAUUCACUGGGCGUAAAGGGUGCGUAGGUGGCCGGGAAAGUUCGGUGUGAAAGCUCCAAGCUUAACUUGGAAAUGUCAUCGAAAACUUCCCGGCUUGAGGAUUGAAAGGGAGACUGGAAUUCUCGGUGUAGCAGUGAAAUGCGUAGAUAUCGAGAGGAACACCGGUGGCGAAGGCG